UCUACGGGAGGCAGCAGUGGGGAAUAUUGCGCAAUGGGCGAAAGCCUGACGCAGCGACGCCGCGUGAGGGAUGAAGGUCUUCGGAUCGUAAACCUCUGUCAGCAGGGAAGAACGGUCACUGUGCUAAUCAGCAGUGAAUUGACGGUACCUGCAAAGGAAGCACCGGCUAACUCCGUGCCAGCAGCAGCGGUAAUACGGAGGGUGCGAGCGUUAAUCGGAAUUACUGGGCGUAAAGCGCUCGUAGGCGGUAUGGCAAGUCAAGGGUGAAAUCCCCGCGCUAAACGUGGGAACUGCCUUUGAAACUGGCAAACUGGAGUGUGUGAGAGGAUAGUGGAAUUCCAGGUGUAGGAGUGAAAUCCGUAGAUAUCUGGAGGAACAUCAGUGGCGAAGGCGACUAUCUGGCACAUAACUGACGCUGAGGAGCGAAAGCGUGGGUAGCAAACAGGAUUAGAUACCCCGGUAGUC
rnacentral:rRNA from 1 species